rnacentral:rRNA from 1 species
AUUGAACGCUGGCGGCAUGCUUUACACAUGCAAGUCGAACGGUAACAGGCCUUCGGGUGCUGACGAGUGGCGAACGGGUGAGUAAUGCAUCGGAACGUGCCCAGUCGUGGGGGAUAACGCAGCGAAAGCUGUGCUAAUACCGCAUACGAUCUGCGGAUGAAAGCGGGGGACCUUCGGGCCUCGCGCGAUUGGAGCGGCCGAUGUCAGAUUAGGUAGUUGGUGGGGUAAAGGCUCACACAGCCAACGAUCUGGAGCUGGUCGGAGAGGACGACCAGCCACACUGGGACUGAGACACGGCCCAGACUCCUACGGGAGGCAGCAGUGGGGAAUUUUGGACAAUGGGCGCAAGCCUGAUCCAGCAAUGCCGCGUGCAGGAAGAAGGCCUUCGGGUUGUAAACUGCUUUUGUACGGAGCGAAAAGGCUCCCUCUAAUACAGGGGGCUCAUGACGGUACCGUAAGAAUAAGCACCGGCUAACUACGUGCCAGCCGCCGCCGUAACAC